GACGAACGCUGGCGGCGUGCUUAACACAUGCAAGUCGAACGGAAAGGCCCUGCUUUUGUGGGGUGCUCGAGUGGCGAACGGGUGAGUAACACGUGAGUAACCUGCCCUUGACUUUGGGAUAACUUCAGGAAACUGGGGCUAAUACCGGAUAGGAGCUCCUGCUGCAUGGUGGGGGUUGGAAAGUUUCGGCGGUUGGGGAUGGAAGCGCGGCUGAUCAGCUUGUUGGUGGGGUAGUGGCUUAGCAAGGCUUUGACGGGUAGCUGGCCGGGGAGGGUGACCGGCCGGGCUGGGACUGAGGCACGGCCCAGACUCCGACGGGAGGCAGCGGUGGGGAAUCUAACGGAAUGGGCGAAAGCCCAACGCAGCCGUGCCGGGUGAAUGAGGCAGGUGUUAGGAAAGAAAAAUUCUUUCAGCGGGGACGAUAAUGACGGUAACCGGAGAAGAAGCCCCGGCUAACUACGUG
rnacentral:rRNA from 1 species